CUACGGGUGGCACCAGUGAGGAACAUUGCACAAUGGGGGGAACCCUGAUGCAGCAACGCCGCGUGGAGGAUGACGCAUUUCGGUGUGUAAACUCCUUUUAUAUGUCAAGAAAAUGACGGUAGCAUAUGAAUAAGCACCGGCUAACUCCGUGCCAGCAGCCGCGGUAAUACGGAGGGUGCAAGCGUUACUCGGAAUCACUGGGCGUAAAGGACGCGUAGGCGGGUUGGAAAGUCAGGUGUGAAAUCCUACAGCUUAACUGUAGAACUGCACUUGAAACUUCUAAUCUAGAGUAUGGGAGGGGGAGAUGGAAUUAGUGGUGUAGGGGUAAAAUCCGUAGAUAUCACUAGGAAUACCUAAAGCGAAGGCGAUCUCCUGGAACAUUACUGACGCUAAGGCGUGAGAGCGUGGGGAGCAAACAGGAUUAGAUACCCCUGUAGUC
rnacentral:rRNA from 1 species